GAUGAACGCUGGCGGCGUGCCUAAUACAUGCAAGUCGAGCGAACAGACGAGGAGCUUGCUCCUCUGACGUUAGCGGCGGACGGGUGAGUAACACGUGGAUAACCUACCUAUAAGACUGGGAUAACUUCGGGAAACCGGAGCUAAUACCGGAUAAUAUAUUGAACCGCAUGGUUCAAUAGUGAAAGACGGUUUUGCUGUCACUUAUAGAUGGUUCCGUGCCGCAUUAGCUAGUUGGUAAGGUAACGGCUUACCAAGGCAACGAUGCGUAGCCGACCUGAGAGGGUGAUCGGCCACACUGGAACUGAGACACGGACCAGACUCCUACGGGAGGCAGCAGUAGGGAAUCUGCCGCAGUGGGCGAAAGCCUGACGGAGCAACGCCGCGUGAGUGAUGAAGGUCUUCGGAUCGUAAAACUCUGUUAUUAGGGAAGAACAAAUGUGUAAGUAACUAUGCACGUCUUGACGGUACCUAAUCAGAAAGCCACGGCUAACUACGUG
rnacentral:rRNA from 1 species